CAUUCAAUUUGAUUUUCCACAAAUUGCUGUGAUUGGCUGCCAAAGUGCUGGGAAAAGUUCUGUUUUAGAAAAUUUUGUCGGAAGGGAUUUUUUACCGCGUGGCGCCGGCGUAGUCACAAGACGCCCAUUGAUUUUACAACUAAUCAACGCGGAAACUGAAUAUGGUGAAUUCAUGCAUUGCAAGGAUAAGCAGUUUACCGAUUUCAAUGAAAUUCGUAAGGAAAUUGAAGCUGAAACUGAUCGUGGGACGGACAAUCGAAAAGGGGUUAGCAAUGUUCCGAUAAAUUUGCACAUCUACAGUCCAAAUGUAUUAAACAUUACAUUAAUCGAUUUGCCUGGCAUAACAAAAGUCCCGGUCGCCGAUCAACCACACGACAUAGAA